rnacentral:hammerhead_ribozyme from 1 species
AUCCAGCUGAUGAGUCUUGAAUGGGACGAAACACGAGUCCUGAAU